rnacentral:tRNA from 1 species
AGGGGUGUAGCUCAGUUGGUAGAGCGUCGGUCUCCAAAACCGAAUGUCGCAGGUUCGAGCCCUGUCGCCCCUG